AGCAGAAUUACGGGAUCAUAUGGUAACUUUAGCUUUUAGGGGAACUGCCAAACUGCCCUCCAAAGCAGCUGCACCAUUUUGUAUCCCCCCAGGAAAG
rnacentral:pre_miRNA from 1 species